rnacentral:rRNA from 1 species
GUCGAGGGGUAUAGUUCUUCGGAAUUAGAGACCGGCGCACGGGUGCGUAACGCGUAUGCAAUCUACCUUUCACAGAGGGAUAGCCCAGAGAAAUUUGGAUUAAUACCUCAUAGUAUAUCGAGUUGGCAUCAACAUGAUAUUAAAGUCACAACGGUGAAAGAUGAGCAUGCGUCCCAUUAGCUAGUUGGUAAGGUAACGGCUUACCAAGGCAACGAUGGGUAGGGGUCCUGAGAGGGAGAUCCCCCACACUGGUACUGAGACACGGACCAGACUCCUACGGGAGGCAGCAGUGAGGAAUAUUGGACAAUGGGCGCAAGCCUGAUCCAGCCAUGCCGCGUGCAGGAUGACGGUCCUAUGGAUUGUAAACUGCUUUUAUACGAGAAGAAACAACUCUACGUGUAGAGUCUUGACGGUAUCGUAAGAAUAAGGAUCGGCUAACUCCGUGCCAGCAGCCGCGGUAAUACGGAGGAUCCAAGCGUUAUCCGGAAUCAUUGGGUUUAAAGGGUCCGUAGGCGGUCAGAUAAGUCAGUGGUGAAAGCCCAUCGCUCAACGGUGGAACGGCCAUUGAUACUGUCUGACUUGAAUUAUUAGGAAGUAACUAGAAUAUGUAGUGUAGCGGUGAAAUGCUUAGAGAUUACA